GAGGCAGCAUAGGGCACUGGAAAGUCGGAUUAAUAAUAGCUGUCAUUUAAGUGCCUGCUGUGCGCGGGGCACCGUUCUCAGCGCUUUGCAUUUGCUGCCCCACCUGGUCCACACAACAGCCUAUGCAGUAGGUGCUCUUAUUAUCCUCAUUUUACAGAUGAACGGCCCUGACACAGAAACGUGAGGCAGGGACUCUUUGAAAAAAAGGAUGACAACUACUCAUCUUUGGGUCUUCGGUUCUGAUGGCGGUUCAGAUGCUAUUGGCAUGUUUCCACCUCCACCUCCAGAAGGGCUCGUGUGAUACUGAAUGCCCAGUCCAGGAACAGUGCCUGGAAUAGAGGAGAAUGUUUCUGACUGACUGCGUUGCAGAUAGAAUGCGCGAUUAGAAGCCUGCAGCUGGAGGUCAAGGUUCUAAAGCACAGAGGGGUUAAGUGAUUUAACUGAGGUCACACAGCUAAUAAUUGGCAGAGCCAGAAUGAGUAUUUUUAAUAUAAAAAAGGACAGAGCUUUCCAGGAAAUGCCACCCUGAUGGUGUCAAGCCCAGGGGUGCGCGUCUGCACUGCCGUGUGCCACAGCAUGGAUCCCCCGUGGAGGCAAGGCCCACAGGGGUUUUAAAGGCAGAGCGAGAUGAAUGGAAGCUGACACUUCCACCUGCUAUUGACAAGGAGCUGAGGUGCCUUGCAGAGGACAGGCCUGGUAAUUAAUGUGCCGGUGUCUUCACUGACAAAGCAAAACAGCAAACACGCGAGCGAAGGAGUUCCUCUGCCAACCUUGCAGACCCCCAUUCCAGCUUCCUCCCAACCCAUCGAACUUCUAGGAAGAAUUCACCAACAAAUGACAGCUAUGAUCCGCUCUGUAAGCCCUGUCCUGUUGUAAAUAUGUCCCCUGACACCCAGCCGAGGAGAAGAAAAUUCAAGAGUGGAGAGAGAAGCAAAUCCUGGAUGUCUCAGCAGCACCUCCUACCAAGCUUAAUCUCACCUCCUUUGGUGUCAGAGUGAAGCAAGAGAAAGACGUCUUCCCUCUCUGUCUCCAGGGAUGGACUUGAGGGGAGUCCACAGACUGUGUGCUGCAUUUCCAUUUCCCAGGCCGUGAUUAAAACUUCCAGAGGCACCAAGCUCCGAGAAGAUUAGGCCAUCUCCACCUCCCUGAGCAGUACAAAAGAAAUCAAUACUAAGCCACAAAAUAA